rnacentral:rRNA from 1 species
UACGUAGGGUGCAAGCGUUAAUCGGAAUUACUGGGCGUAAAGCGUGCGCAGGCGGUUUUGUAAGUCUGUCGUGAAAUCCCCGGGCUUAACCUGGGAAUGGCGAUGGAGACUGCAAGGCUAGAGUUUGGCAGAGGGGGGUAGAAUUCCACGUGUAGCAGUGAAAUGCGUAGAGAUGUGGAGGAACACCGAUGGCGAAGGCAGCCCCUUGGGCUAACACUGACGCUCAUGCACGAAAGCGUGGGGAGCAAACAGG